rnacentral:miRNA from 1 species
CUUCAGCUGUCCUCCUUUCUGU